AACAGAGUCCUCAUCUUGUUACCCAGGUCGGAGUACAGUGGAGCGAUCUCAGCUCACUGCAACCUCCACCUCCCGGAUUCAAGCGAUUCUCCUGCCUCUGCCUCCUGAGUAGCUGGAACUAUAGACGCCCGCCACCACGCCCGGCUAAUUUUUGUAUUUUUAGUAGAGGCAGGAUUCGCCAUGUGGGCCGGGGUGAUCUCAAACUCCUGACCUCAGGUGAUCCACCCACCUUGGCCUCCCAAAGUUCUGGGAUUAUAGGCGUGAGCCACUGCACCCAGCCCUAAUUAUUAAGUGAACCAAAGAAUUUCUCCCCACCCUCUAAUAUCUACCCUUGUGAUGUAGAUAUUAAAUGAGAAGAGAAAGUAACUCUGUGUAGGAGGUGAGUUUUGAGUGAUGUGGAAGGAUGAGGUGGAUGUGACCCACUUAAGAAGAGCCUGGACAGCAUCACAAGGAGGUGGGAUGGCCAGAGGAAAGGAUGAGAAAAACAUUCACUGAGUAUUAAUGAUAUUCCAGACCUUAUGCGUAUAUUGUCUCAUUUAAUCCUCAUAGCACCCUAGGAAGUGAACCGUAUUUUGCCCAUUUUUCAGAAGAGGAAACUGGGGUGCAGCUCCAGAUUCGAAAACUUGUGCUUUUUUUUUUUUUUUUUUUUUUUUGCUACACAUUUUCUCUGUGAAAGCCUUAAAAGGUGAGCUAGCUCUCCCUAAAUCUGUCAUACAGAUUGAAAGUCAACAGUGCCCUCACUUGAUAGAUGGUAAGAUAGAAGCAUAAGGAAUCAUAUGCAUUUUCAAAAUGAAAUAGCCAUUUGAGGUUACUAUCAGUUCAUCCUGAUGGCCAAGCAGCACACCUUCCUUAUCUAUAAAUCUCUUUCAUGUUUAAUAAAUGUCCUUGAAUUUGGCCCUUUGUUAAUGUGACUUAUGAGGUGUUUAUUUCUUCAAGGCAAUUAUUUACAAAUUUAUGAAUUAACAAUCUGGUCAAUGUGUACCUGCGCCUAAGCAAUUAGACAAAUGUUGUUCUUGGCCUCUGCUGAAAACCCUCACCUCCCUAUGACUUUGCACCUUCUCUCUUCCUGAUAACAGACAGAAGACAUAUUUCACUGGUGCUCAAAUCAGCUCUGGCAUUAAUGGAGGUGCUGAAUGACUUUAAGUAAUUAUUUAGGACUGUAAAUUUUUGUUUAGCUCACAUAUGUAACCCUUAAUUGCCAAUACUAAUUAGAGAUGGAUGGAAACUUGAGGCCCAAAGAUGCCACAGAGGCUUACAGAAUAUAGACAGACUUCACUGAAAGAUGGGAUUCUAAAUAAUGUCUCUUCUUUAUUUCCUUAUCUUAACCACCUUUGAAUCCUUUAGUUUCAUUCACUAAUAACAAGUUGAUCCUGCUCUGGGAGCCAAUGGAGUUUCAUGGGACUUUGGUUUAUACUCUGUUUUAAAUUUCUCUUCUUUUAAUGGAGUCACUCUCUUCUUCGAGACUUUUAGAAAUUCAUCUUCUCAUUGUUACCAGGAGCAGCAUUUUGCAUUAGUCCAUGAUUGCACUUUCUACCAGUGAUAAGAGACUUCUCAGAGUUCCUUUUUCUUCUGGCGUGAUGACUAGCAGGGGUCCUCUGGUGGCUGCUCCAUAAGCCUGGGUCCAUUCUUUUCUUCCUUUUUUUUGAGACAGAGUCUCACUCUGCUGCCCAGGUUGGAGUAUAGUUGCAUGAUCUUGGCUCAUUGUAACCUCCGCUUCCUGGGUUCAAGCGAUUCUCAUACCUCAGCCUCCUGAGUAGCUGGGAUUAUAGGCGUGUACCACCACGCCCAGCUAAUUUUUUUGUAUUUUUAGUAGAGACGUGGUUUCACUGUGUUGGCCAGGCUGGUCUUGACCUCCUGGCUCAAGUGAUCCGCCCAACUUGGCCUUCCAAAGUGCUGGGAUUACAGGCGUGAGCCGCUGUUCCCAGCUGCCAUUUCUCAUUCUUCCUCUCUGACAUCUCAGUCUCUUUCUUGUUUCUUAUGAUCCUCCACCAGUUUUGGGCUUUACUUCAGCAUUACAUCUUUAAAAAAAUUUUUUUUAAACUUUUGUUUUAGGUUCGGGGUACAUGUACAGGUUUGUUAUAUAGGUAAACUCAUGUCACAGGAGUUUGUUGUGCAGAUUAUUUUGCCACCCAGGUAGUAAGCUUAUUAAAAAGUCAAAAAAUAACAGAUGCUGGUGAGGUUGCAGAGAAAAAGGAACAUUUAUUCACUGUUGGUGGGAGUGUAAAUUAGUUGAACUAUUGUGGAAAGCAGUGUGGCAAUUCCUCAAAGAGCUAACAGCAUUACGUCUUGAAUCUUACUGCCUUACCCAACUGAUAGGCACAAAUAAAAACAUGUAUACUUUUUAAAAAAUUAUUUAUUUUCAUUUUUUCUUCAGAUACCGUGACUUCAAAAACAUGUAUAAUUUAAAAAAUAACUUAAAAAAUUUCCAAGAAUCCCAGCACUUUGGGAGGCCGAGGCGGGCGGAUCACGAGGUCAGGAGAUCGAGACCAUCCUGGCUAACACGGUGA
rnacentral:lncRNA from 10 species